rnacentral:rRNA from 1 species
UACAGAGGGUGCGAGCGUUAAUCGGAAUUACUGGGCGUAAAGCGCGUGUAGGCGGCAGCGCAAGUCGGGCGUGAAAUCCCACGGCUCAACCGUGGAAGUGCACUCGAAACUGCGCAGCUAGAGUCCUGGAGAGGAAGGUGGAAUGCUUGGUGUAGAGGUGAAAUUCGUAGAUAUCAAGCGGAACACCGGUGGCGAAGGCGGCCUUCUGGACAGUGACUGACGCUGAGACGCGAAAGCGUGGGGAGCAAACAGG